rnacentral:rRNA from 1 species
CGUACCUGGCCGUCGGCUCCCCCCGUCUGUGAAACUCCUUCGACGAGUCGAGUUGUUUGGGAAUGUCAGCUCUAAAUUGGUGGUAAAUUCCAUCUAGAAGCUAAAUACCGGCCAGAGACCGAUAGCGGCACAAGUAGAGUGAUCCGAAAGAUCAGAAAAGCACUCUUGAAAAGAGAGUUAAAAAGUACGUGAAAUUGUUGAAAGGGAAGCGCUUGCGGCCAGACUUGCCCGCGGUUGCUCAGCCCGCCUUUUGGCGGGUGCACUCUUCCGCGGUCAGGCCAGCAUCGGUUUGGGCGGUCGGAUAAAGGCGUUGGGAACGUGGCCUCCCCUCGGGGAGGUGUUAUAGCCCGGCGCGCAAUGCGACCAGCCCGGACCGAGGUUUCGCGCUUUGCUAGGAUGCUGGCGUAAUGGCCGUAAGCGGCCCGUCUUGAAAACACGGACCAAGGAGUCUAACAUCUAUGCGAGUGUUUGGGUGUCAAACCCGUGCGCGUAAUGAAAGUGAACGGAGGUGGGAACCGCAAGGUGCACCAUCGACCGAUCCUGAUGUCUUCGGAAGGAUUUGAGUAAGAGCAUAGCUGUUGGGACCCGAAAGAUGGUGAACUAUGCGUGAAUAGUGGGUGAAG